UAUGGGUCUUCUGACCAUCAUAAACACAUUUGAAAUACAUGUACUCCUAACAAAAGAAAAACUACCAACUUCAAUUUGAGACUUUUUCCUGAAGCCAGAAGGGAUGGCAGUGUUUUAAAAUGGGAAGAGGCAAUUUUUGAAAAUCCCAGAAACAGAAUUCCUCUACUUUACCGAAACUGUUUCCUGGAUGGAGUCAGGCUAGAGGCGGCCUGCCAGGGAGAUAGAGUCCUUCCCACACCAAGAAUAUUAUCCUGAGUGAAGAAACCUGACAAGAGCAGGUCUGAGGCAUGAAGACAUGUACAUAGAUGGAGUCUCUAAGGGCCUUUGGGAAAUGAUUGAGAAUUAAAAUAAAGGGAUGGAACUGGAGGAGAUUGUGCUGAGAAAAAUAAAUCAGGAGGACAAAAAAUGGGUGAUUUAAUCAUAAUUGGAAUAUAAAGAAACAAAACAAAGGAACAGACAAGUUACAGUAAGAAGACAAUUGUCUAUCAGGAAGUAUGUCUUCACUGGACUCUGGAUCUGCCAAUACCAUGAUGUUAGAUUGUUCAAUCUUCAGAACUGUGAGAAAUAAAUGUUGU